ACUGUUUACCAAAAACAUAGGUUUCUGCUAAGUCGCAAGACGAUGUAUAGGAGCUGACGCCUGCCCGGUGCUGGAAGGUUAAGGGGAUCUGUUAGAGCAAUCGAAGCAGUGAACUUAAGCCCCAGUAAACGGCGGCCGUAACUAUAACGGUCCUAAGGUAGCGAAAUUCCUUGUCGGGUAAGUUCCGACCCGCACGAAAGGCGUAACGAUUUGGGCACUGUCUCAACAACAGACUCGGUGAAAUUGUAAUUCCGGUGAAGAUGCCGGAUACCUGCGACAGGACGGAAAGACCCCAUGGAGCUUUACUGUAGCUUGACAUUGGGUCUUGGUACUACAUGUACAGGAUAGGUGGGAGGCUUUGAAACCAGGACGCCAGUUUUGGCGGAGCCAUCCUUGGGAUACCACCCUUGUAGUACUGGGACUCUAACCAUAGGCCAUGAAUCUGGUCUUGGGACACUGUCAGGUGGGCAGUUUGACUGGGGCGGUCGCCUCCCAAAAGGUAACGGAGGCGCUCAAAGGUUCUCUCAGUACGGUCGGAAAUCGUACGUAGAGUGUAAAGGCAAAAGAGAGCUUGAUUGCAAGACAUACAGGUCGAGCAAGGAUGAAAAUCGGACUUAGUGAUCCGGUGGUUCUGCGUGGAAGGGCCAUCGCUCAACGGAUAAAAGCUACCCUGGGGAUAACAGGCUUAUCUCCCCCAAGAGUCCACAUCGACGGGGAGGUUUGGCACCUCGAUGUCGGCUCAUCACAUCCUGGGGCUGUAGUAGGUCCCAAGGGUUGGGCUGUUCGCCCAUUAAAGUGGUACGCGAGCUGGGUUCAGAACGUCGUGAGACAGUUCGGUCCCUAUCCGUCGCAGGCGUAGGAAAUUUGAGAAGACCUGUCCUUAGUACGAG
rnacentral:rRNA from 1 species